UGCCAUAUAUGAUUCAAAGGGGUACUAAUUAUUCAUAAGUAUAAAUAUACUUAACCGUACUUUAUUUUAUUACGAAAAUCAUAAAACCAGUUAAAACCGAGAAAUUCCCGAGAGAGUUCUUCGUGUUCUUGAGAUUCAAACGAGGAUUUGGACGCGUUAUCGGACUCGGAUUUUGGCGUUCAAGGGCUCAAAUUGAAGGUUUUAACAAGUAGAAUCAUAAUCUAGCAUCAAAAUCAGUGCAGCAACAUCAGAGAAGCCAGGCGUAUUAGAGGGGGAAAGCAAGUGGAUAUAGAAUAGUAUAUCGAGCAGGAGCGAUUGAAAUUUGAAAUCGUCAGUAUAAGUGAAAGCAGAGAAGGUUGGUAACGAUGAUACUCAGGCUAGUGGUAAGGCCAGGAUUCCAGGCUGAGAGAUGGAGAGAGCUAUCGGCAGCGCUUGACUUUUGAUAUAUGUAUUAAUUUGAAUAAUGAGACACAAAUGACGUGUAAGCUUGUAAGAUUUAAGUUUUUAUUUUGGGAUUUGGGUUUGUAAUAAUUGAAGUUGUGUUGUGGCUUGUUUUAUACUUUAA